UCAGAGGCCAACAUCCUUCCUUGUCUUCAGAGAACCCCCUCCUGAGCACAGCGCCCCUCCAAGAGAUUGUUCUAGGAAACUACUGUGCUGGAAAAUAACUGAAGAUGGAGAAAGAGGCUGUUGUCAUUGGAAAGGCAGUCACGCAAUGCUGGGCAUGGGGUCGAAGUAAACGCCGUUAAGCUGUUGCUUUAUUCUGUGUCCUCUGGAUCCUUCCGACGCCCAGCUAAAUGCACGUCUCCCCUUUCCUUGGCCGUCCUUCUAAACGUGCAUGUAGUCAGAUCAUUUCUCAGGAACAUGCAUUCAAAGUGCCUCCUCUUCUGUAGAAUUUGGAGGUCUGUGCACAAUACAGGCUCCCUGCAGGACCCCCAGGGGCUCCCUCAAAUUCCUACGGUCUCCACCCUUCUUCAUCUGCCCAAACACCAAGAGUGAACCCCAACAGAAGCUGUGGACACCCUGUGAUGUCACAGUGUGUGCCCUUGGAGGCUCAUCCACUGUAACCACUGUAAAAAAGUCAAUUCUUAAAAAAAAAACAGGAUGGAGACAAACCUUUCAGAUACAAUACAUGAACUUGGGUUCAAAAACAGUAAGAAAACUCUCUCCAGGGCAAUUACAGAAAUGUAAGUAGAGGCUGUAUCCUAGAUGGUAUUAUUCAAUCAGUGCUAGUUUCUUAGGUGGGUGUGAUCAUGAAUAGUGCUGUAUUUUGAAACUUUCAAUUUGACAAAUCACAUCUAUAUUUAAUUAAUAUGAAACAAAAAAACUAAUACUAAAACUACGGCUUCCUUCACCUCCUAGCCAGCCCUGCCCCACCCACCGCCGCACAUUGAAAAACAGAACUAAUGUUGAUUUUUCCUGUGCGUGGCACGUGGUGCAUAAAAGCCUGCGCUUUCUUUUCUGAGUCAGGUCCCCUUACAUGCAGGGCACGCUGUUGGAGCCCUCAGUGGCGCUGCAUGGUAUGGGCAGGGCUGAGGGAGGGCUGCCCACACGAAAGGACACUUUUCCUUGCUGGGGACACUUGGCUUAUCUGAUGUCAAUUCCCCUGGGUUAUGUCUGAUUUUUCACACAGGUGAAUAACGGGUCCAAGGCUACAGACAUAGCAGGUGGUAUGUCCAGAAUUUUACCCCAUUUGUCCUGUGCCAAAUUCUGUUGAUUUUGGUUAGUUAAUUUACCUGGGCCCCUGACCCCCUAGUAUAUAAGGUGUGAGACCCCCUGAGGGUACAGCACCUGGUUCUUAAUAUAUAUUAUAAUGGCCCAUCUUUUCUAUUCGUUCCUGAUAAAAUGUUUCAUUUUAACGAAGAUCCGAGUGUUUUAAGGAAACUGAAGUUCGCGGAGCGGCUGCAGGACACCAGAAGCU
rnacentral:lncRNA from 1 species